UUUCAUUUUUUUUCCUCCGCAGUCUAUUGGGUCUGACUCCUUAUUUUGUCCGAACGUUUGGCAUUAUUGAGCCCUUACCGAUAUAGAGCGUGGUAUAGUUUAUUCGAAACGCUGUGUGUCUUUUAUUUUUCUCCCGACUUUAGGGUUUCCAUCGAUUCACUCAUCUUCUUCCUCCUGACCCUGCAAGCAAUCGGCGCCGCAGCGAAUCUAGGAUUUCCAGCGAUCUAUUCAUCUUCUUCCUACUGAUCCAGUGGUCAAUCGGUUACGGAUCCACUACUAUUAAAUUCCUUAUUAAAUCAACCGUACACGAUCUCUCUUCAAUGCCACUUUUGCUCUUCAAAGGCGGUUGAGGUUUGACUAUAAAAGUCCGAAAGAUGUUCUUCCACAGUUGAGGUUAGGUUAUUGUGUUUCUAGGAGGCGAGGAAUAUCAGGCGCUGGGAUGAACUGAUGUAUGUCGGUAUGCUCUUGCUUGAUUCGAAUGGAUGUGUAUGUGACUUUUAGUUUGAGUGCGUGGUGAUCCAAGGGUUGUUAUUGCGACAAGCUUAAAUCCCUAAAAUAUUCGGAGGUAUUUAGUUAUUAUUUAAAUUUAAAGAAUGUCUUAUCUGUUUCUAACAAGAGCUCCGGUGUUUGUUAGUACCUUUGUCGAACUUUUUCAUGCA